rnacentral:lncRNA from 1 species
CGACGCGCGGUGGGGGCGACGGGCGGUCCGGGUCACAUCAAGGGACGCGUCGCGGCCGGGGCAGGUCUUGGCCUGGGUCCCCUAGAAAGAAGGGUGUGACUCCCAACAGCAGUCAUCAUCACCCAAGUGGAUUCUGGGCACCCACUUGGCACCAGGCUCUGUGCUGGAGGGAAGGGAGGAGUGGAAGCUUACUGGAAAAUGGAUGGCAGGAGCAGAGACUGCGAGCACAGAGCACAGGGACCAGCUUGCAAGCUGCCAUCAGGGGAGACAUAAUAGGAGCUGAGGCAAUGACAGCAGGAAUGAACAAAAGACAUGCAAAUAAUACCCACCAUUUGGGGAGUAAAAGCGCUUUGCCUUAUUAUAUCGUCUCUCCUUGUUGUAAGAUAUGCGAUGGUGUUAGCCCCAUUGUAUGCAUGAGAAAAUUGAAGUCCAAGAAAAAUUGAAGAGCUAGAAUUUGAAUCCUCUUCCACAUUAAUGGAAAGCCUUAAUCAUUUCCUUCCUCCGUAUCACUUUUGUGUCAACACAACUUAAGUACCAACAACAACUGAGCCCUUCAUAGUCUCAGUCAAAAGAACAUGCG